GAAGGUAUAGUUCAGUGGUUGCGUGCGUGCUUAGCGUGCACGAAGUCCUGAGUUCAACCCCCAGUAUCUCCA
rnacentral:tRNA from 1 species